UCUUCUAAAAAAUUCAGAGAUAAUAUGUGACGUCCAAAUACUCUAUAGAAGCAUCCUUGCUCCUGUGAGGGUCUUGGCUCUUUCCUUUUUGGAUAAAUCCCCUUCUUUGAAUCCAAUUUCUCUUCUUCUAAUCCAAAACAUUGGAUGAAUAUAGAGAUUCAACAACAAUUUAUGUGUUGUUUUUCUGAUUUUUAUAUCAAUUUUGGGGAUUAUUCUUAGGGUUUGAUUUUGUUUUAGAUCGAGAUUAGAAGAAGAAAGUAUGCCAUCUCAUACAGUGAUAAUGGUGGUGCUGGUGGCGGCGGUAGUGGAGGACGAUAUCCACUAUCUGUUUCGUCACUCUUAUAAUUGCCGAAAUCAAAAGGAUUUCAGGAUUGUUGGCUCAUCCUUGAUGGAAAGGUGUAUAAUGUGACGAACUACUUAGAUGAUCAUCCUUGUGGUGACGAUGUUCUUGUUAAUGCAACAGGUAUUAUUUUUUUAGUACAAUCUUAACCAUGUUCCUUCAAUGAGAAUAAGGUAAUGGGAAUCCUAUAUGAGUGUAAAGACCUUGAAUAAUGAUGUUUGAAUAAAUGCAAGAGAAUUAAUGGGACUAUUUGAUUGGAGAGAACUAAUGGAGACCUAUUUGAUUGGAGAAAAUUAUUUUAAAUUGCUGAAAAUUACUUAAAGUUUUGGUUGAUGGGUGUGGAGUGGUUGGUGGUGUUGGCAGUAAUGGUGGUGCUGGACUUACGGUAGUGGUGGUGCUGUUGGAGUCGGAGUUGGUGGUUUGCUAUUGGUAUUGGUCGUGAAGCGAAAAGGUGGCUUGCUCUUGAGGUGGUGACGGUAGUGGUGGCGACGGCGGUGGUGGUGACGGUGGCGACGACGACAGUG